UACGUAGGUGGCAAGCGUUGUCCGGAUUUACUGGGCGUAAAGAGCGCGCAGGCGGUCGAUUUAGUCGUAUGUGAAAGCCCCCGGCCCAACUGGGGAGGGUCACGCGAUACUGAUCGACUCGAAGGCAGGAGAGGGUAGUGGAAUUCCCGGUGUAGUGGUGAAAUGCGUAGAUAUCGGGAGGAACACCAGUGGCGAAGGCGACUACCUGGCCUGUUCUUGACGCUGAGGCGCGAAAGCUAGGGGAGCAAACGGG
rnacentral:rRNA from 1 species